rnacentral:rRNA from 1 species
AUACGUAGGGUGCAAGCGUUAAUCGGAACUACUGGGCGUAAAGCGUGCGCAGGCGGUUUUGUAAGACAGAGGUGAAAUCCCCGGGCUCCACCUGGGAACUGCCUUUGUUACUGCAAGGCUAGAGUACGGCAGAGGGGGAUGGAAUUCCGCGCGUAAGAGUGAAAUGCGUAGAUAUGCGGAGGAACACCGAUGGCGAAGGCAAUCCCCUGGGCCUGUACUGACGCUCAUGCACGAAAGCGUGGGGAGCAAACAGGAUUAGAUACCCUGGUAGUCCACGCCCUAAACGAUGUCAACUGGUUGUUGGGUCUUCAUUGACUCAGUAACGAAGCUAACGCGUGAAGUUGACCGCCUGGGGAGUACGGCCGCAAGGUUGAAACUCAAAUGAAUUGACGGGG